CAGCCAGUAGGGGAGUGCGGCCAGCGCUGCAGCCAAUCAGCGUCCGCCUCGGGCUCUGGGCGCGAGGAGCGAGCUGUGCACGCGCCUGGGCCGCGCGCCACUUCUCACUUUCUAACGGCCACUGGCCACUCCGGCUUGCGCUGCCCUAAGUGUAUGCGGGGCUGAAUGGGGAGGAGGAACAGGGUCUGAGCUGGUUUGAGAAUAUGCUGUUCCUCCCUCGCCUUUACUUCAUGGACCCCACAUUGUUGCCUUUCUCUUAGAGCCUCUGAGAUUGGUACCUAGGCGAGGCAUAAUGCCCCUGCCUCCCAUAAGACUGCCCAGCCCCUACGGCUCUGAUCGGCUGGUACGGCUGGCAGCCAGGCUCCGGCCUGCACUAUGUGAUACCCUGAUCACCGUGGGGAGCCAGGAGUUCCCAGUCCACAGCCUGGUGCUAGCAGGUGUAAGCCAGCAGCUGGGCCACAGGGGCCAGUGGGCUCUGGUAGAAGGCAUCAGCCCUUCCACCUUUGCCCAGCUUCUACAUUUUGUUUAUGGAGAGAGUGUAGAGCUGCAGCCUGGGGAGCUGGAGACCCUCGAGGCGGCGGCCAGGGCCUUGGGAGUGCAGUCCCUGGAAGAGGCCUGCAGAAGGGCUCGAAGGGACAGGGCUGAAGAAGAGCUGGACCCAGGGCUGAAGAAACGUCAGGAGGAGCCAGAGAAACCCACAAGGGAUUCUGAGAGAGGACUGGGGAGGCUUGGAGAGAAGCAGGAACCAGAGAAGUUUUUUAGAACUGGUGAGAGAGAACAGGAGAUGUUGCACAAGCACAAGCCACCGAGAGAGGGCCCUGAGAUGGCAGGGGCGAGGAGGGAGGAUCAGGGGGAGCAGAUGAGAUCAAAGGAGGAGAAAUUCAGCCAACCCCCUGUUUGCCACGGGGCAGCAGAUGGGAAGCAAGGAGUGGUCAUGUGGGUGAGGGAGAGUGCAGGGGGCUCUGAGGAAAGUCUGCGGGAGUUCCCUGGCCCCCUUCCCCUACCAAAUUCCUUCCAAACCAGCAUCAUCCCCAGGCCCUGGUGGGCUGAGGCCCCUUGGUUUGGGGAGAGCCAGCCUGCCCUGUGGAGCAUCCUGCUGUUGCCGCCCAGAUAUGGCACUCCCUUCUCCCAUAGCACCCCCACCACUGGAGCCUGGCAGGAGGUCUGGCCUCAGGACCAGAGGAUCCCACUGGCCCUGAACCUCCCCAAAGGGCUCUGGAGCCAGAACCAGCUGGCCUCCUCCAGCCCCACCCCAGGUUCCCUCUCCCAGGGGCCCACACAGCUCAGCCCUGGGGAGACGGAAGAGUCUGAUCAGGGGCACACAGGAGCACUUGCAACCUGUGUGGGUCACGAGGGCACAGCAGGCCACCCAUCUCACCAACACCCUCCCCCAGCCCCUUCUGCUCGGUCUCGGCCCUAUGCUUGCUCUGUCUGUGGGAAGAGGUUUUCACUGAAACAUCAGAUGGAAACGCACUACCGAGUCCACACAGGAGAGAAGCCCUUCUCCUGUAGCCUUUGUCCUCAGCGCUCCCGGGACUUCUCUGCCAUGAGCAAGCACCUGCGGACGCACGGGGCCGCUCCGUAUCGCUGCCCCCUGUGCAGGGCCGGCUGCCCCAGCCUGGCCUCCAUGCAGGCGCACAUGCGAGGCCACUCACCCAGCCAGCUCCCGCCCGGAUGGACCAUUCGCUCCACCUUCCUCUACUCCUCCUCCUCCUCAAGGCCAUCCCGGGCCUCGACCUCUCCCUGUUGUCCCUCCUCCACCACCACCUGACGAGGUGUCGGUAGCUUCUUUGGGCUCAGCCAAGAUUCCAAGUAAAGAAUGAGAAUCGGGGCGGCUUGGCAUCUGGCCCGGCACUGCUGCUGCGGCAGCUUAGCAAACUCGGCCCCAGAAGCGCCUCGGGAAGGCGGCUGAGAGCUCUCUCCCGGACGACCGCGGGUCGCACACGCCUGGGCCAGCGAGCCUCUUUAGGGACUAGAAAGCCGACUUCAGUCUGUGCGCGGGGGUCCCCCAGCCUUGCCCCUUGUCCUAGAGCGGCCCCUUGUGGCUGUGCGUCCGCUGUCCAGCGGGGUGGACACUUCCUCUGCUCCCCUGGGCGCUCCGUCCUCUCCUGGAGGCAGCCUGCCGCAAGGGCUCGGUGUUCAGGCAAACUUCGCAGCAGGCCCUGGGAUGGUGGAGGCUGUGAGACCCGAGUCACUCGCCCCUUCCACAGCAAUCCGCGGCGCGCGAAGUCUGAGCUGCGCGGGCCCCGCCAGUGGCUGGAGGGAGAGCAUGCUUCCGCCCUGUUUUCGUCACCCGCCCGCUCUCCUUGAGCACCGGGGCCCCGAGAUCGCGGCCCCUCUAGCAUCUUCCCUCCGCGCCGAGCAGAACGGCGGCCGGGUCGCGCUUGGAACCGAGACUACCCCUUCGCCGCCGCCCCUUCCCAGCCCACGCCUCCCGCAGUCGCGAACUGCACUUCCCAGUGUCGCCUGCGUUCCCAGGGCCGCAGCCCGCUGCAGCCUGGGAGUGGUAGUCGCUGCGGGCCGCUGGCUCCGACAGAAUCUAUAGCAGGCGUCUGGGACGAGGACCACAGGUCCCGGAGGCCCGAGGAUUGGCUUUCCGGGUCCUGCUCAGGGACCCCGCGCUCGCGCCCUGCUCCCGGCGGAAGGAGCAAGGCGUCUGGACUACAUUUCCCGAGGGCCCCUGCGCCUCGCCCCUCUGGCCGCGACGCGGGGUCUAUGCUCCUCAGGAGCGGUCUAGGGGUGACGGCCGAGCGGCCGCGGACUCCGGCUCCCGUG